rnacentral:tRNA from 1 species
GCUAGGGUAGCAAAGGUUAAUUAAUGCUUAAGUCUUAGGAACUUAGAACGCGGACUCCCCGCCCCUAGCU